rnacentral:rRNA from 1 species
UGUAACCUACCUUUACUUCAGGGGGAUAGCCUCUCGAAAGAGAGAUUAAGCCCGCAUAAUAUGAAGACACAGCAUUGUGAUUUCAUCAAAUAUUUAUAGGAUAAGGAUGGGCAUGCGGAACAUUAGCUAGUUGGUAAGGUAAUGGCUUACCAAGGCUACGAUGUUUAGGGGAUCUGAGAGGAUGACCCCCCACACUGGUACUGAGACACGGACCAG